rnacentral:rRNA from 1 species
CUGCCCUGUGUGGGGGACGAACAGUUGGAAACGACUGCUAAUACCGCAUGAUGUAGCGGAGGGCAUCCUCCUGUUACCAAAGAUUUAUCGCCAUGGGAUGGGCUCAUGUCUGAUUAGUUAGUUGGUGGGGUAACGGCCUACCAGACUGCGAUCAGUAGCCGGACUGAGAGGUUGAACGGCCACAUUUGGGACUGAGAUACGGCCCAGACUCCUACGGGAGGCAGCAGUGGGGAAUAUUGGGCAAUGGGCGAAAGCCUGACCCAGCAACGCCGCGUGAAGGAAGAAGGCCUUCGGAUUGUAAACUUCUUUUACCAGGGACGAAGGACGUGACGGUACCUGGAGAAAAGCCACGGCUAACUACGUGCC